rnacentral:rRNA from 1 species
UACAUGGGGUGCAAACGUUGCUCGGAAUUAUUGGGCGUAAAGCGCGCGUAGGCGGUUACUCAAGUCGGAUGUGAAAGCCCUCGGCUUAACUGAGGAAGUGCACCCGAAACUGAGUAGCUAGAGUACUAAAGAGGGUCGCGGAAUUCCCGGUGUAGAGGUGAAAUUCGUAGAUAUCAGGAGGAACACCGGUGGCGAAGGCGACGACCUGGGUAGAUACUGACGCUGAGGCGCGAAAGCGUGGGGAGCAAACAGG